AGGGGUGAGAUGAUAGGGGAGAGAGGUAGGAGAGUGCGUGGAGGAGAUUAGAGUGAAAUGAGGUGGAAGUGGUAGGAGAGUGCGUGGAGGGGGAGUAGAGUGACAUGAGAAAGGAGAGCUAGGCAUAGAUAAGUCCAUGAAAAAUAUUGAAGACGUGAGUGUGAUGUUUGAGUUGAUCUGGGAUUGGAUUGGGAGCCAGUGGAGGGAUCGGAGUUUUGGGAUUCUGGCACCAGACUUUUUUAUCACCUGGAGUUUGGGGAUGAGGAAUUUUGCAAAUGUGUGUGAGGUGUGGGCGUGUGGAAUCGAAUGGAGAAAAAUCAGUUGUAUUGAAAGACAAAGGUAAUGAGGAAAAGCUAGAAUUGGUUCAGGAGGAGGCAUUUCCAAGUGGAACAUUUCAGAGAAAGCAGAUCUGGCGUGGCUCUAUUCAAUAAAUUCAAUCGGUCUUUAUUUACAUAGAUCACUUCACAUCAAUAAAGGAGUAUCAGAGUCACUUAAAUACUUCAGCAGUUUUUCUUGCUGUGGUUGUCUCACCUGAUGACGAUUGCUUGUGUUGCGAUCGAAAUGUUGUGAUCUAUUAUUUUGUCUACCCACGUGACUUUACCGAAAGAACCAAAGAGCAUGGAUUCCUGCAGUCACGAAAGCUUCAAAUCAAGAUUACUUUAAAUAAGUUGCAAUAUGCAUGAAAUCCUUCUGCUUAUAUUUAACAUACCAAACGUGUCAUAUGUCUUCGGUAAUGCAAUAAAAUAUUACCUCCUAUUGUAAUUAACACCGAUUUCUGAAAUUAAGAAAUUACACGGGGAGUGCAUAUUCCCAGGUCGCCACGAAUAUUUUCGCCUUAUCGCAGAUGAGCUAAAGAGACGGAGCUUUUAAUCGCGCGUUUUAAAUUUGCGAGAGAAGAGGGGGCUUUCUCCGUAGGAAGCUGUGCAAUGAAGGACGCUGCUGGAGCGGAACGCCAAUUGAGGAAGAGAAAGUGACAGUGCUGCUCCGUGACCUCAUAUGGAGGCGCAAAAACAAAACGAAGUGGAGAGUGCAAGAUCAGAGACGAUGGAAUGAACUUGAAGCGAGAAGCAGCUCUCAGGAACGGGAAACUCGGCGCAAAGUGUGGUGUAAAGGGAGGUGCUGCUGCCUUUGUAUUUCCCGCAUGGUGAUCGUGCUCCUUUCUGUUGGAGCGGCUGUGAUGCAGGACUCUGCUCUGAAAGGGGACUCUCCCACAUGCCCUGUGGCGUCUCCCAUAGCUUGUUCUCGGCGAUGUCAACUUGUUUGAGCCGCAUUGUCGGUGCCUUGGCCUAGAUGGUGGAGGGGGUGGCGGGGGGUCUCUUAAGUGGAAUAACACCUUCCGUGGCGUAGCGGCAGAGCCGAGAGUCGAUCGAGCGGUGUUCGCGGCGUUCGGUGGCUUCAAUCAAAAUUAGACACUGUGCGAAACUGGGCAAGACGCAGGUUUGGGAAGCCAGUGUCCCGUUGGCUGUGUGACCAUCGCAAGGAAGUAUUGACCAACUUGUGAGUGAGAGAUCGCGCGAGUGCUGAAUAUGCGCCAAAUCUCCCGGUACGCUUUGAAGUUUCGCGAUCAACCGCUUCGCCAGACGCAUUCUCACUCAUUGGAGCUGUUGUCAGGGCGCACCGUUAACAGGUAAAGGUGCAGCCCUGAAAUUUCUCGCUGACACCACUGCUUGGCGGAAGGGCUGCCACUACGGGGGGAGCUACAGAUUAUCCCCUCUGUGGCUCCCAGGCUUUGUGGACCUGUGCAUCAUUGGUUGGUGGUGGUAGGCAAAGGCAGUUUUAAUUAGACCACUGAAAACGUUUCCCGAUGCGUUUUCAGGGUCUUACCGCGUGUUGGUCGGGCAUGAUGACCCACGUUUUGCCCCCACCUGCUGGGAGCUUCUUAAUAUAAACUAAAUGGAACAGCUCACAUUUUCUCGAUUAUAAAAGUUUCUGGCUACAGCGGACGUUUAAUAAGUAAACACCAACAGCAGCAGCAUCAGCUGACAGCUCUAUAUAUUCAGUUUCUGAAGAAGCUCUCCAGCACGUGGAGCGAAACGUCGGACAUCGUGUUGAAUGACACGCGGUACGACCCGGAAACUCAUUGGAAAGCUACACAGCACAACCGCGGAAGCCUACGCAGUCGCUGAAAAAGGAGCUUGCCAUGCGCGUGGAAUGAUGUUCCUUUUAAAGUUUCGCUAAAUUUUAUAUUUUUAAUAAGGACGGACUUUCCCCCAGGCAAUGACAUGGAUCUUACUGGCACCUAGGAUUCCAGAUGUGUUAAUCAGCUGUGGGGUGGUUUGCUUCAGCAGGUCACACGGCUCUCCGUGCAGCGAAUGCGGAAACGUGCGGUGAUCCGCUCGCGUUUUGCUGCCGUCUCGUGCGGGAUUAAUGUAAGCGAUGUUAAAAUUUUAAACGGCUUUGAGAUUUUAACAAGGGGGUUAACCUCUCGCUGUGCUCUGUUGCCCCACGAUUUCAGAAGCGAGACCUUCAAACGCGGUUGACGGUGCGCAAAUUCACCCGCGGAAUCCAGCCUCGCGACCUGCGAGAGGUGCGCGCGAGCAACAGCAAAGCGACUCUCCUGAACGGGGCCCUGCGUUUAAAAGCGUGUGCCUUUUUUUUUAUUUGAAGAGGCCUCCUGCGAAGGUGGCGCCUUGUUUCAACAAGCGGAUUGCGUCGUGGCUGGUGAAAUGUUUGAGCCACAUUUUAAAAAGAAAAUAAAUAAAUUAUAUCUAAAAGACUACA